rnacentral:lncRNA from 10 species
UGCGCCGCCGCCGCCGCCGCUCUUAGGGUUCCGUCUGCUCAUCAGACAACAGAUAUUUAUUGAAUGUUCUUUGUCAUGCGUCUUCAAGAUGUGCCCUGGCCAUUCAUGCAAGUUUCAAGGACUCUGAAUCUGUUGAGAAAAAGAGGUUACGUUCCAAUUCUGCUUUAGUUCCAACCCAAAUGCUGAGAAACACUCCAUGGAAUUUAAUUACAGGGCGAUAACUGUGAUCUUACCAAGAUUUAUGAACAGGAAGAUCCUUGGUGAUUGUAGUCAGUCAAAGGGUGGCUUUGACAUAGCACCUAUCUGUUAGGGCAAAUACUGCCAGGGAAAAGGUGACAUUUGGAAUCAUCUGGGAUUGGACUCUUGAUCAAUAGAUGCGAAAUGUCAGGUGGACAUGAGAACUGUUGGUCUUUGGUACAUAUGUGUUGCAAUGAGUAAGGAUGAGUAAUGUGAAGGAAAAGUAGAAUCUUGGGACCCCAAACUCACUAUGCCAAAGGGAAAGUUAAGCGUGGGAGACUGAGUCAGGCAAAAACUGCCUUCCUUUUGUUCCCAAAUAGAUGGCUGUAAUUUCACAUGCUUGCGUUAUGUGAAAUGUGGAUUCAUUGAGUGCUAAUCAGAGCCCCACAAGAAUGAAAGCACUUGCCUUGCUGCCUACCCUCCCUCCUCUUUUUUCUUCCCCUCCUGCUUGCUCUUUUCCCUUUAAAUAAUGAAGUUCCCAAAACCCUCUUUGGAAAAAGCAUAGGUCACAAAUCCUAUUAUAACUUGCAUUUCUUUUUCCUGGGUACAUUCUCAACCUGGGCAAAAUAAACCUCUAAUCAACGAA